UACGGGAGGCAGCAGUGAGGAAUAUUGCGCAAUGGGCGAAAGCCUGACGCAGCAACGCCGCGUGGAUGAUGAAGUUCUUCGGAAUGUAAAAUCCUUUUGCAGAGGAAGAAAAUGCUGGUUUACCGGCACUGACGGUACUCUGCGAUAGUUGCCGCCU
rnacentral:rRNA from 1 species